rnacentral:rRNA from 1 species
AUUGAACGCUGGCGGCAUGCUUUACACAUGCAAGUCGAACGGUAGCGCGGGCUUCGGCCUGGCGGCGAGUGGCGAACGGGUGAGUAAUACAUCGGAACGUGCCCAGUAGUGGGGGAUAGCUCGGCGAAAGCCGGAUUAAUACCGCAUACGACCUGAGGGUGAAAGCGGGGGAUCUUCGGACCUCGCGCUAUUGGAGCGGCCGAUGGCAGAUUAGCUAGUUGGUGGGGUAAAGGCCUACCAAGGCGACGAUCUGUAGCUGGUCUGAGAGGACGACCAGCCACACUGGGACUGAGACACGGCCCAGACUCCUACGGGAGGCAGCAGUGGGGAAUUUUGGACAAUGGGCGAAAGCCUGAUCCAGCAAUGCCGCGUGUGUGAUGAAGGCCUUCGGGUUGUAAAGCACUUUUGGCGGGAACGAAAAGGACUGUGCUAAUACCACGGUUUGAUGACGGUACCAGCAGAAUAAGCACCGGCUAACUACGUG